UCUUAAAUAUAAAUGUAGGCCAUCCUUUGUAUUUUCUAACCAAAGUCUACCCAAUACAGGUAUAGGAGCAAAGUGAUGCAUUGAAAUCUAAUUUCGAUCUUCUGAAUGGAUUGGAAUAUCAGAGCAGCAAAGCGUCAUCUCGCACCACAUACACAUGUUUACAGAAAGUCAUUUCAUCAGUGUUCAUGACUUGGAAAGAAAAAGCUGAUGGAGAAACGUGAAGCUGGAUCACACAAUACGCAAAAAGAUUCAUAGUAAGGAAAACAAAUAGACCAAAUGUUGAUCUACAGUUGUAACGAAAGAACCUGAAUAACGUCAUACCUUUGGCAACUUUAAAUUUAAUAUUAACUACGAGUUUCAUGAGACCGUCGUUGUGACAGACGGACUGUCGCAAUUAAUUAUUUAGUAGUAUAGUAAAAAGGUUCUUAAUCUAAUAGCGCCGCUUUCAUCAAUAGGUGAUGACGUCAUUUGUGAUAAUUUUUUCUUGUGUACUAGUUGCUCUCCCUUUUUCGCUUCGGCGUAAAUUUUCUUAUGACGUCAAACUUUUCUUCUUGAUCGUUUGGUAGACUCCCUCCAUCUUGCGCUGUAGAGCCAAGCUGUAUCUUUGGAGUUCCUGAAUUCUCCAUGUGUCUUCGUUAUUGGAUAGCCUUAGCGUUGGCCCUGGUAUAUAUUCUUGAAGGAUUAUUUGACCCCUGUUUAGGGGUUUCAGGUUUCAGGACUGAGGUUUUCGUCUCAGGUUUCAAGUCUCGGGUUUUUGUCUGAGGUUUUAAGUUUUGGGUUUCGAAACUGUGGUUCCAGAUUCCAGAUUUCUACAUUCAGUCUUGGUGUUACAUUGUGAGUUUUGCUGCUACUCUUAACCUUGAUUCUUCAUCGUGCUGAGCAUUCAUCUUGGCUAGAGAACACCUGGGAUACCUUGAUCAGUUUAGUGAAGUGAAUUGAUCCUCUUACAGAAUCUUUGUCUUGGAACGAAAUAUUGUGAGGACAAUAGGCCUACUAUCAGAUACCAUAUUACAAGAUGGUUAUCAUUAUCUUAGAAAUAUUAAUUCAGUAUUUAAUUGGAACUAGACUAUGAUUUUGUAAUUUCUUAUUUCAUUCUAUAUUUAUCAUUACCAUUAGUCAUAUGUCUUUUCAUUGUAUAAAUUUCAUUUUAUUAAAUUCAUAUUUUACUUUAAAUCAUCAUACACAUCGUUUAUUAAUUUAUGUACAACUGGGUGUGUAUGGUGUGUCUGUUGGGCUGAACUCUGGGAC